GCGUCAUCCCCGGGGGACCGCUGACGCGCGGUUGAGAGGGAGGCAGCAGCCUUCGACCCGCCGAACCUGAUCCGGUUGAGACCGGCGGAGGGAGGGAGGUCGCCAGACAC
rnacentral:ncRNA from 2 species